AUUCUUCGGAAAAGAAACCUUUAAUGAGAGCGGCGAACGGGUGAGUAAUAUAUGGGGUAAUUUGCCCCUAAGUUCGGGAUAGCUAUCGGAAACGAUAAGUAAUACCGAAUGUGAUCGACCAUUGCAUAGUGGUCUGUUUAAAGGCGGGGAAUCUUCGGAUCCUGUCGUUUAGGGAUAAGCCCAUACCCUAUCAGCUUGUUGGUGAGGCAACGGCUCACCAAGGCNCCGGGUANCUGGUCUGANAGGAUGGUCANCCACACUGGGACUGANACACUGCCCANACUCCUACNGNAGGCU
rnacentral:rRNA from 1 species